CAUCAUCUUCAAGGGCUGUUCUUGUUUUCGUUAUUUCUAGUUUUUCUUCCAGUUUUUCUUUUAUUUCGGUUACUAGGGUCACUCUUUGUGUGGAAAAGUUGAAGCAUUUCAAUACUAUGUGCGUCAGGUAAACCAAGAUCAUGUAAAAUUUUAAUCAGCUGUAUAAAAUCAACAUUGUCGUAGGCUCAUUGGACAUCCAAAAAGACACACACUGCAGUGGAUUUAGGUAGCUGGCAACUCUUCAUAUCAUUAAGGAAUGUUAUCAAACUUUCAGCUGUACUCCUACCUUUACGGAAACCAAAUUGACAAGGGGGUAAUAGUUUAUUUGUCUCUACAAAAAAAAUCUAAUCUUACUUUGAUCAUGUGUUCUAGUAAUUUACCAAUGCAUGAUGUUAAGAAAUUGGCCUAUAAGACUUAUAAUCAUCUGGUGGUUUAUCAGGUUUUAAAAUAGGUACUACACACUGAGUUUUCCAUGAUUCAGGUAUUUGUUGACUAAGCCAGAGAGAAUUGAGAAUAUCAAGUAAUUUGUUUUUCACUGAAAUAUGCAAUUUCUGUAACAUGAUAUAUGGGAUGUCAUCUAAACCAGGCGCUGUGGAUUUUUUGAUGUCAGAGCUAUAUCUAGUUCAUGAAACAUAAAUGGUUUCAAUAAAAAUUAUUGUUUAAGUUAUUAUUGUUGUUAAAAUACAUCUGAAUAUUAUCUAGUUCGGGUGGACAAUAUACACCCAGAAUGGACACUGGUCCUGAAACUGUCGACACUACAAUAGCGACACUUUGAAUAUCCUGAUAAAAUGCUGUUUUGAUAGUUUUGUAUUGAAGGGUAUUUUUUCUUAUGAAUAUACCUACAUCACCAUGCUCGUUUUGUGCAUUUUUUUCAAUGUAAUUGUACCCGGUUAUAUUAACAGAAGGACUAGAUUUUUAAAGCCAAGUUUCAUUGAGUAGACACAAAUCUAUGGAAUUAUCUUUUAGUUUUCAGUAACCAUUUUUUAUUGUUUACGCUUUGAAUGUUAAAUUGCAUGAAUUUAA